rnacentral:rRNA from 1 species
AAUGUGCCCGUAACUAGAGGUUGCCCGCAGGGGUCAAUCAGCGGCCCAUUUAUUUGGGAUUUGCUAUGGAUGUACUGCUUCAGCGCCUCGAGCCGUAUUGCCCAUUGAGUGCAUACGCGGAUGAUCUGCUUCUUCUCGUCGAGGGAAAUUCCCGAGCCGUGCUAGAGGAGAAAGGAGCGCAACUUAUGUCCAUCGUUGAAACGUGGGGAGCGGAAAUUGGCGUUGCCGUUUCCACCAGCAAGACGGUAAUAAUGCUGCUUAAAGGUACCUUGAGACGUGCGCCACGGUAAAGUUUGCUGGAGCAAACCUGCCGUACGUGCGUAGCUGUCGGUAUCUGGGCAUCACGGUCAGUGAAGGAAUGAAAUUCCUCACGCACAUAGCUUCGCUACGUCAGCGAAUGACCGGAGUCGUUGGAGCAUUGGCGCGUGUGCUUCGAGUUGACUGGGGUUUCAGUCCUCGAGCCAGGCGGACCAUAUAUGCCGGACUCAUGGCACCUUGUGUGCUAUUUGGUGCCUCGGUAUGGUAUGUCACCGCCGAGCAAGUAGCUGCCAAGAGGCGACUAGCGUCCUGUCAUAGACUGAUCCUGCUUGGAUGCCUUUCGGUAUGCCGAACAGUGUCCACCGCGGCACUGCAGGUUCUUGCUGGAGCUCCCCCGCUUGACUUGGCUGCUAAGCAAUUGGCAGUCAAAUACAAGCUGAAGCGUGGAUUCCCGCUGGAGGAGAACGACUGGCUCUACGGUGAGGACCUGGAAGGUCUGAACUGGGAGCAGAGAAAGGCGCGGAUUGAGGAGUGCAUGCUCCUCAGUUGGCAGAGCAGAUGGGAUGACCACAGCGCACCAGGGCGGGUUACGCACCGGUUCGUCCCAGAUGUUACUUCCAUCUAUCGAGACCCAAGUUUUGGGUUCUCGAUGAUGGGGUCUUUCCUGCUCACAGGGCAUGGGUCGCUCAAUGCAUUUCUGCAUGGGAGAGCCCUCAGCGACACCACUGCAUGCGCAUGUGGUGAUCCAUACGAGGACUGGAUGCACGUAUUGUGUGCAUGCCCCCUGUAUGCAGAUUGCGAGACCUCGAUGGACUUGGAGUGCGGCGCGUUGGCGAAACUGGAUAUUUGAUGGAAUCCUGGAGGAUCGGGACAGGACUCACGGCUGAUGCAGUUUGCUGAGGAGGCGUUUCGCAGGAGGAGGGGCCUUUAGCCACAUCUUUCCGUGUGGCUAGCGGGUAGAAUACUGCACAGCCUGCCGUUGCUUGUCGUAAAGGCGACUAUGCGGCAAUGGGUGCCCUAUCGGUUUUGUCGGAACCAAAGGGUGAGGCCCCGAGCCUGUAAUUUCGGUACCACGGGUUGAGCAGUUCCAAGACUGCUCAUUGAGGUUGGCCCCUUGUGGAGUAUCGUGGUGGCUGUGGUUAUCCCAAAAUCGCGGGAGAUCCCUUGGGAUCGACGUGGAGUUGCGUUCUCAACCUGGCGCUGUGACCAUUAGAUCAGCAGAGAUUUAAGAUAGGUCUCGACCCCUCACAAAGGGGGAGUGCACGUCCGGCUUGCGUGCGCUCGAAUUUGUACCGGGGUAGUUGCUAUGUACAUAGCUAUAGCUUCUGGUCCGGGGCGGUUGGCUGGCGCUUAAUCCAGACUGUUGCAUUAUGUGGUCAAUUCUGGCCACAUUGAAAUGCUGUGGUUGUACUCCCUUCAAUGCGGAACACGCCACAUAAAACAAGUACGGAGAGAUCCGAUUCUCGAUGUCCUAUCUACUAUCUAGCGAAACCACAGCCAAGGGAACGGGCUUGGAAUAAUUAGCGGGAAGAAGACCUUUUGAGCUUGACUCUAAUCUGGCAGUGUAAGGAGACAUAAGAGGUGUAGAAUAAGUGGGAGAUAUUAGACUUCGGUUUGGUAUCGACAAUGAAAUACCACUACUCUUAUUGUUUCCUUACUUACUUGAUUAAAUGGAACGUGUAUCAUUUCUAGCCAUUAUACGGAUAUAUUUAUUAUAUCUUAUGGUAUUGGGUUUUGAUGCAAGCUUCUUGAUCAAGUAUCACGAGUUUGUUAUAUAAUCGCAAACAAAUUCUUUAAUGAGACGAUGCAUUUAUGUAUUUUUGAUUUGAAAUUUGGUAUAACUCCAAUUACUCAGGUAUGAUCCAAUUCAAGGACAUUGCCAGGUAGGGAGUUUGACUGGGGCGGUACAUCUCUCAAUAAUAACGGAGGUGUCCAAGGCCAGCUCAGUGCGGACAGAAACCACACAUAGAGCAAAAGGGCAAAUGCUGACUUGAUCUCGGUGUUCAGUACACACAGGGACAGCAAAAGCUCGGCCUAUCGAUCCUUUUGGUUUAAAGAGUUUUUAACAAGAGGUGUCAGAAAAGUUACCAUAGGGAUAACUGGCUUGUGGCGGCCAAGCGUUCAUAGCGACGUCGCUUUUUGAUCCUUCGAUGUCGGCUCUUCCAUCAUUGUGAAGCAAAUCACCAAGCGUUGGAUUGUUCACCCAUGCAAGGGAACGUGAGCUGGGUUUAGACCGUCGUGAGACAGGUUAGUUUUACCCUACUAAUGACAAAACGUUGUUGCGACAGCAUUCCUGCGUAGUACGAGAGGAACCGCAGGUACGGACCAAUGGCACAAUACUUGUUCGAGCGAACAGUGGUAUGACGCUACGUCCGUUGGAUUAUGCCUGAACGCCUCUAAGGUCGUAUCCGUGCUGGACUGCAAUGAUAAAUAAGGGGCAAUUUGCAUUGUAUGGCUUCUAAACCAUUUAAAGUUUGU